GAUAGUCACGUGAGCACCCAAUGCACAUGCGUGUUGCGCAGGGCGUCGGUUGGUGGGGGGGUCCCUCGCCAUUUUGUGAGCGGCCUCUCGCUCCCUUUCCCGACGGCCAAGAGGACGGUGGAAUUCGGGGGGUUCAUUGAGGAUUCGCCCCAUUCCGGAGGCGAGAGGGCCCUGCCCCAACGGAGCCACCACCGUCGGAAACUGGAAACCGCUGUCUCGGGCAGAGUUGCAACAGCUGGCAAGAGGAGAAGAGGACGUGGUGGAAGACUUGGAUUUUUCCGAUGGAGACCGAUGGAUGGACAGAUUUUUUUGGAGGGGGGUGUAACUGGACAGCUGUUGCCACUUGUGGAGGGCUGAGGAAGGGGCUGCAUUGUUCCAGCUGGCCCUGAAUCCGAGUUGAUGCACUCAAGGGACAUGUUGGAAAAUUUUGUCUUCCGGCAGGGGAGCCUAAAAAGUCUAUGCCACGAUGGCUGCAAAAAACCCUGCCUUUUUAGAAUAAUAAUAACGGGGGUUCUUAAAACCAUCUCAAAACAAAAUCUUCUUUAAAAACAAAAACCAGGCCAGCCUUCAAUGCUGCCCCUUCCUCUUCUGGAGGCCAAUCCCACCCACCCAGCGCUGGAGAUGCGGAGAUGGAAGACCAACGUGCCACCACAUUUUGUGGCUUGGCUCUUUUCCUGCCAAGUGGCCUUAUUUAAAUUUUUUGGGACCAAACAACAGCAGGAAGAGUUGGACUGGCAGCACAAUGCAGGCUUUGAAUCCCCCACUCCCCCCAAUUCCUCUUAUUUUGAUUUCUGUAUGGGAAGAAAAUCCAGGUGUGUCUUGAGGCAAGUCUGCAGUUCCUCCCCUUGUUCUAAGCAGGCGUGCACAAUUUAUUCCAAAUCUUGGAAGUUAAUUUCAAACAUUAUACAUUUGUGCAUACCCACUUAUAGCAAGGGGUGCACAGAAAAGAUGUCUGUGCAUGGUGGGUCACACUUAAGAGGGGGGAGGAAGGCCAGGAGCCAACCAUGGCAUCAGGGAGGCUGGCAGGGAGGCCCUAGGAAGGUCCGGGGCAUCCAAGCCCCCAGGGGCAGCCUCGGGCAUCCCCAGAGCCUCUCUUGCCAGCUUCUCUUGUGCCAUGGUUGAAGCUUGAGGGUUGGUGGGGGCUGAGGGAGGUCAAGAGAUGGGGCUGGGGUGCAGGUGGGCUGGGCAGAGAGCGGCUGCCCAAAGUCCUUGGCUCAGAGGGUGGCAGUUUGUCCACUCCCAAGCCAAGAGACAUCGGCAAUCCGUUCUCUGUCCCAUCACACCCACCCAAUGUCCCAUGGGCCUCUCUCAGUCACCAUUAAUGCCUUUGGCUUCAAUCCUGGCCCAAAAGGGGGCCUGGGGGGGGUCCUGGGAGGAGGGGGGACAGAUAUCCCCCCUCUUCCUAGGACCUACCUUCCCCUGGGGACCCUUUAGGGUCAGGGCUGAAGCCAAAGGCUGGGGGUAGGGAGGGGAGGGGCAGGUGGGUGGGUUGGGGAUCAGAGGGGGGGUGUAUUGCUUGUUUUUUUGAACUUUAAUAAAGAUUGUCUCUUCUGCAUCCUGGGUGUUUGUUUUCCCUAACACCCCCCACCCUCCCUCAC
ensembl:lncRNA